AAAAACACAUAUUCUUUAUUACGCUCAAUUACAACACUUUUUAUCCACUCCUAACAUUAUCACCUUGUUUAUUUACAUUGCUCGAUUGGUACCCUCGUUUGACACUGAUUUGGUUCCUUUGGUUUCAUCUUUGCGGGACUCUUAAACAUAGACUCUGGUUCGCACCUACGCAAAGUCCCAUAUGUAUCUCAUAUUGCACUGUUCGCACUUACGCGAAGUCUUAUAUGUACUUAUCAAAACGUGCGUGAUGAGCAAAAUUAUUUCUUUCCUUCUCUUCCCUAUGCAAAAACGAAACAAAAUCGGUUUAUUCCGGUAGAAAGAGAUUUUGAAGGCUGUUCGUUCCUACAUAAACUCUCAUUUGUAAUUGUCAAAAUGUGCGUGAUUACAAAAGCAUGCUUCUAUCUUUUUCUCACGCAAAAACCAACCAAAUAUUAGCAACACCGUCAACGCGAAUAUCAGCAACGCCGUAAACGUGAAUUGUUUUUCAUUACCGAGUUUAUUUUUCAUUGCCGCUAAAAUUAUCGGGUUGAAAAAAAGCUAUUGUUAUUGGUUAAAAAAGUGUUCAGUGUCAAAAAUUUAUUUACUUUUCGAUGUCCGAAAAGAGAAUGAAUAAAAUUAUGAAAAAUUUUUUGGAGAGAGGCUUGCGAGAACCCUGCGCUAGCGAUUCGAAAGGUGAGAAUCAUUUUUAUAACCUACUUUUAAAAAAUGGAAUUCCGUAACUUGAUCAACUUCUGAGGUUUAUAAUAAUCAUUUUAAAUCGAUAUAAAUUAAAACAACAAGCAGUGAUACGUGAGAUUUCAGGACCUUCUGUGCCCUUUUGAUGUACUUUCGAGGCGGCUAGGGACAUCAAAAUUCACAGGAACAGCUAAAGAGCUACCAUCUUUAACCUUUGUUCACAGUUUGAGCUCUAGAGCAAAAUCUGUUUUUAUAAUCAAAUUAGAUUACAAAAACCGCUUCAGAAUACCUACUAUCAGCAUAAAACUAAAUAUCGGCAGUCAGCGAUUCAUCAAAAUCAGGAAAAACGUCAUCAACGGUUUUACUUGGAAAAUGUGAAGCAGUGAAGCAGAACGGAGCCAUGUGAGAAUAUUUGCGAGUAAAAGUUAUGGUUCUAUGUAAAAAAUUAACAACCGGUUCAUGCCACACCGUGUGCCUUGCUCAAAUAAAUGGUAUUUCAAAUAGUUCAGUAAUAUAAUCUAUCAUUUGAUAGUAAAUUAAAUUCAGAUAGUCUUAGCUACCAACUAGAUAACACAAUAAAGAAAACGGUGGUUUGUUUUCGAAAGACAUAAAAUAUUCAAACAAACCAUAACACUUGUAAACAUAGGUUUUACCCUGGAGCUCAAACUGGAAAAAAAAGGAAAUAUUAUAGCUUCUCAACCACUCUCGUGAAUGAUGGUGUCCCUAGCAAAGAAAACGUUUUCAGAAACUCAAAUGAGUUUUCUCAUAAGCAAACGUAGAAGAGACGAACUCGAAGAGGAAUCACUAUACAGGCCAAAAUGCCAUAAAAUUUCAGAGCGACUUGCUUGAGUUCUGGGGCAACUUUUUUAAACUUCGGUCGACCAGUGUUAUUAUUUUAAAUUCUAUCAAACUGGAUGUGUUUCAUGGAAAAAAAAAUUUUUUUUUGGUUAAGAUUCAAGUUAGCAAAAGCGAAGCUAAACUAUUCAAAUUACUACUGGUGGGAUUUUCAGUAGGAUCCAGUUUAUUUCUGACCUUUUAUAGUUUUGUGAUUUGGGUGUGAGAAGCUAUGAUAGUCGUAAACUAAAUCAGUUAAAAAUAAAUUUGAAUAGUCAGAAUUUUUUUUUUGAAAGAUCAGGGAAAUUCAGAAAAUAUCAUAUAUAAUGAAAUAUCAUGAAAAUAUAAUAUAUUUUUGGAAAUUGAGUCCGAAUUUGAAUUCGUCAACAACGAGGUAGGUAGACGAAUUCGUCAACUUACCUCGAGCUCAUCGCUGUCAAUUGUCACUGUGCUGCCUAAGCGGGCCCUGUCGUGCUCGGUUUCGUCAGCCAGCAUGUACUUUUUUUCUGUGUGGACUCAUCACUGCGAUUAGAGCUUAGAUCUAUUGUGAUAUUGCCCAGUUGUUUUCUGUACUUCAUAUUAUUGCAGUAUCAUCAUUGAAGUAAGUGAUACGCUUAUCAUUCAUAUUCGUGCCAUUCCGUUUCAAGCUUACUGCUCUACUAUUAUACCGAACCUCUGUCCACCCUAAAAAAGUCGCCUAUUUACAAUUCCCUGUAGACUUUCAUACGUUACUCACACCAGUUUUAUAAUGCAGUUAUACCUCGAUACAAGGCAACUUUAUUUUUAUUUUCGUUACGUUAUAUCUAUUUAUUUAUUUUUAAACCUUUCUUAUGCCCAAUUUAUUUUUCAAUUUAUACAAAAGGUUGCUCAAAGAUGCGUGAAAACCGAUGGGAAAUAUCAGUAUUUUUAAACCAUUCUUAUGCCCAUUUAGGGCAAUUUUCAACAAGCAUAAUUUUUUUUUUAUUGAUGCAAGAUUGUUGGUGGUUACUCACAGAUGCGCGUAAACCUAUUUCCCAUCACCUAUCAGUAGUUUUGAACAAUUCUUAUGCCCAUUCAGAGAAAAUUUCAACAAGCUAAACAAUUUUUUUUUUAAUUAAUGAAAGACUGUGAAUUGUUACUGAAGGAUGCGUGGAAACCUAUUUCCCAUCACCUAUUGGCAUUUUUAAACCUUUCUUAUGCUCAUUUUGAACAAUUUCAAAACUUACUACAAACAUUUUUUUAAGCAAUUUAUAGCCCAAAAACAGUUGCUGUAUCAUUUAUUUUCAAUUUCAAUAUAUUUUAAAAGCAACGUUAUAUCGAGGUAAAAGUUACGUUAUAUAGAGUUACGCUACAUCGAGGUUCCUUUAUAUCGAGGUUGCCUUAUAUCGAGGUAUGAAUGUAAUAGGGACUUAUUUUUGUUAGAAGGAGAGUCAACAGGGGUACUGUAGAAUUCAGAUUGAAGGAAGGGUACGUGGUGCGGAGCCUGAGAAUAAACCCAUGCUAAAAUUAAACUCUUUUAGCUGAUAUAUAAAAAUCAGGAAGCCGUGAAUAGCUGAACAACCCAAUUGUAUUGUCUGUUUCUUUCAAAACAAUAUGCGCCAAAUUAGUCGCAGAAAUCGUCGUCAUGGAGUUUGUAUGGCAACGAUUUCUGCGACGAAUUUGGCGCGUUUCGUUUAAAAUCGAUGAAUAGAUAGUGCGUAGAGACUUUGUUCUCACGGCCCUUUUGGAGGAUCUGCGCGAAGUGAAGAUCUGAUUGCUAUCUUCCCAAGAAUCCAUUUACUAAGGACGACAGACGUUAGAAGAUAACUUGGGAACAGUCAGGCGAUGCAGGCACUAGGGAUUUUGCUGUCCCCUCUUCUGUAUAUAUCGCUCCACGUCUUGACGAAUAGCUCGACGCAACAUUAUUACCCGCCCAACGUUGUUCUCGUCCAACACUUUCCUACACUCAUUCCGUCGGUUUCGUACCACAUGCCCCAGGACGUUCUUCGCUACGCUGUUAAUGACUGUUUUCACGGCACUCUAACAGUCCUCGAGAGGGGUUUCAAUCAACUCGGCCUCCUCCGGCAGCGAUGCUUCAAGGUAAUGCACGUAGUUUUCAGCGACCUGGUAGAUACUGGUAUGACCAUCCAAAACAUACGUACCAUAGAAUCUUUCUAGCGCACCUCUGGUAGCUUCCAAUUGCAUCAAUGAAAUUGAGUGAUCGACAGUUUCAUGUUCCGAGUUUCAAAUCGUUAGUCCGUUUUCGUGGCCUGGGUCUAUGUCGAUUAUUCGGUUCGAAUUAUUUUGUUCUUCGUUUGUUACUUACCUUACCAAUCAGACGAGAGCCGUGGUGGCUCGUGCUGUAUCAAGAAUUUGUCGCCAUGUUGCCCGGUUUUGGGCUGUGUUUCGCCAGUUUCCCAGGCGUCUCAUCACCCGCAAGUCUCCUUCAAUCUGGUCGAGCCAUCGUGUACGCUGCUCCCCUCUAUUUCUGGUGCCGGUAGGGUUGCUGAAGAGAAAUGAUUUCGCAGGGUUGUCACCCGGCAUCCUUACGACGUGACCGGCUCACCGCAACCUAUUGACUUUCGCCAGGUGUGCAAUGGGAUUUGGAGAGAAUCAGCGCGUGCAGUUCAUGGUUCAUGCGCCGUCGCCAUUCUCCGUCGUUCGUCUGUACUCCACCGUUGAUAGUCCGCAGCACCUUCCGUUUGAAAACUUCAAGAGCGUUAAGGUCCCCCGCGAGAAGCGUUGUUGUCUCGAUCCCGUAGAGGACUAACGGUCUUAUCAGGGUUUUGUACAGCGUCAACUUCGUGCGUCGUCGCACUCGAUUCGAUCGAAGUGUCUUCCGAAGUGAAAAGUAGGCACGAUUUCCUGCCUGGAUGCGUUUCUGGAUCUCUUUGCUGGUGUUAUUGUCGGCGGUCACCAGUGACCCCAAAUACACGAACUCAUCGACCACCUCAAGCUCAUCACUGUCUACAGAGACUUGAGUUCGGAGGCUGAUGUUGUUUUCCUUGGAGCCUCUCGCGCGCAUGUAUUUUGUUUUCGACGCAUUUAUCCGCAGUCCGAUCCGUCCAGCUUCGGCUUUCAGUCGGGUGUGAGUUUCCCCCGCCGUCGCAAAGUUACGUGAUAUGAUGUCAAAGUCAUCCGCGAAGCCCAGAAGCUGAACGGACCUUGUGAAAAUCGUGCCCUUCGUGUCAAUUCCCGCCCUCCGGAUCACACUCUCAAGGGCGAUGAUAAACAACAAACAGGAAAGUCCAUCACCUUGUCUCAACCCUCUGUGCGAUUCAAAGGGACUCGAGAGUAUCUCCGAAACACGCACGUAGCACAUCACUUGCGCCAUUGUGGCUCUGAUCAAUCGAGUCAGUUUAUCCAGAAGUCCGUUGUCGUGCAUGAUAUGCCAUAGCUGUUCUCGAUCGACUGUAUCAUAGGCCGCCGUGAAGUCAAUGAAGAUUUGAUGUGUGGGCACGUUGUACUCGCGACAUUUCUGUAAGAUCUGUCAGAUUGAGAAGAUGGUCCGUGGUGGCACGGGCUCCCAUGAAACCCGCUCGGUACUGACCCACGAACCUCCUGGUUAAAGGUGAUAGACGACGACGGAACAGGAUCUGUGAAAGUAUUUUGUAGGCGGCACUGAUAAGCGAGAUAUCGCGGUAGUUGCGCCAUUCCAGCUUGUCGCCCUUCUUGUAGAUGGGACAGACGACUUCCUCCAUCCACUCGUCUGGCAGUUUUCCCUCCUCCCAAAUCCUGGAAAUGACCCAGUGCAGCGCUCUAGCCACCGCCUCUCUUCCAUGUUUUAAGUGCUCGCUCGGUAGUCCGUCUUUGUUGUUUUCCAGCUUCCCGAUCUCACAGAGAACUUCACGAAUAUCGGGGGCUGGUCAUCCGCUGCUGGUGCUCCUAGGUCAGUUCCUGCUCCGCUUCUGUUUACUAUUUCGCCAUUCAGGUGUCCAUCGAAGUACUCCUUCCACCUGUCAACCACCUCGCUGCCAUUCGUGAGAAGGUUCCCAUCCGCGUCGUUGCACAUAUCGCUUGUGGCAUACAGCCUCUGCGGGACUGGUUUACCUUCUCAUAAAACUUCACUGGCACAGUACAGCUGCGCUAGCUCCUCAUGUUCACGAUCCUCUUGCUGGUGCUUCUUUCGUCGGAGAAUCGUGGUCAUGUCAUUCCGUGCCCGUUUGUCAUUGGCCUUGUUCUCUCUCGUUGACCUGCCCAGGUAUAUCGCCCAGGUCCGGUUCUUCUCAUUCACCGCUGCCUCGCACUCCCUGUCCCUGUCAUACCUGUCGUUUCUGCCACUCGGUGCUUUCACUCCUGGUGUCGCCGUUGCGGUCUCCCCGAUAGCUGUGCGAAUGCUGCACCAGCCGUCUUCGAGAGGCAAUGCGCCCAGAUACUCCGCUGUGGGGAAGACCGCUCCAAGCUGUUGCGCGUAUUCCUCCGCAGCCUGGGAGUUCCGGAGCUGCUUAAUGUUGAAGCGGAGUUCGGCUAUGUCGCCCGUGGUAUACGGUCGACAGUUUUGAGCGCAAUGAUACCGCAACUAGGUAGUGGUUCGAGCCAAUAUCCGCACCGCGAUAGGUACGUACGUUUGUAAUGUCAGAGAAGAAUCGGCCGUCGAUGAGAACAUGGUCAAUUUGAUUUGCUCAACGUUGGUCAGGUGAUCCCCAGGUGGUUUUGUGGAUGUCCUUACGGGGAAAGAAGGUACUUCGGACUGAUAGUCCACGGGAAGCUACGAAGUUGACGCAUCACUGGCCGUUGUCGUUCGUCACGGUGUGCAGGCUGUGCGGGCCGUUCACCGGCUUGUAUAUUUCUUCCCUACCGAUCUGUGCGUUCAUGUCCCCGAUGACGAUCUUGAUGUCUACGCGAGCAGCUAUCGUAGAGUUUCACCAGCUGUGCGUAGAACUCUUCUUUCUCUAAAUCGGGUCUUCCUUCGUGAGGGCAGUGCACAGGGUAGUGUAGUUGUAGAAACAGAACAACCUGUUGCUGAUCGCCUGCCACUUGAUCACACGGCUCUGCAUCCUGCUCAGCACUAUGAAGCCGGUACUCAGCUCAUUGGUUGUGCCCUCGCUCUGGUAGGACUGUACCCUGUGACCACAAAUCCUCCAUACCUUCUCUCCUUUCCGGCAACGCUCCUGGAGCGCAACGAUGUCGAAGUGGCGGGAAUCCGGUUUCUACCCGGGGCGUUCAGUGAUUUACAUUUCCAUGUACCGAGCUUCCAAUCGUCGUCCUUAUUUCGUCGCCUAGGUCGUUGCCAAUUGUUCCGGUCCGUAUUCAAUUCUUGAUUGUUCGUAGUAUUUUGAUGUUUCGGCAUGCUGCCUCACUAGGGCUGCGGAUGCCUAGUCUGCGACGGGGCUGCCGUCUCGGGUGUAGCUGGCGAGACGCCGCAUUUCAUAAUUCAGCCGUCCGCUCCGGAUCAGACGCUGUUUGAGCCGCCCCUUACAUGGGGAACAGAAGCUCGGACAAGCUGCCCUCCUAAGAGAGCAGCUCUCCCUUUCCUGUCAGCAUACGACCAAGUUUCCACCGGUUCACCGAUCUUCCUUUGGUUGCUCGUAUCCCAGUCGGUACCACGCGGAGAUAGGGAUAGGAGUUGCAGGGCAUUAUGCUUUGGACCACACUGGGGUCUAUUUUAUGCCAACUAGUACGGGUGUAUUGCUGGUGCGCACUGCCCAGCCGUUUCGUUUGUUGCUAAGUUGUUUUUCCUGGUGCAGGCUCGCAAGGCCAGCAACCAACCCCACUGUCUCAAAGAAGGACAAACGUGCUACCACUGUUCUAAGUCCCGAAUACGUUUUGGCUUUGGUUUCUAGAGUCCUGGGUGCACUAACAAGACGGUAGUUCAGCCGCUCCUAACAUGAAGAACAGACGCUGUUUCUAGCCACCCCAUACAUGGAGGUCAGACGCUCAAAUCAGCUCUCAAAAAAGCCCCCUUUACUGUCAGCAUACGACUAGAGAUCCCCCCCCCCCAGGGAGGUACGGAUAGGAGGCUAAAGGGUCACCAGUGAUACUUCACAUGGAUUUAUUUUAUACCUGUAGAUACGAGAUAUGGUGCGCCUUCUCCAGCCAUUUACAAACCAAGCUCGUUACUUAUUGAUUUUAAUAGUAAGUUGUGUUCUAUUGAAUCUGUUUCUUUGUUUUAUUUUGUCUGGAACAAAGCGAGCGACCCGGAACAUCAAAUCCAAACAGAAGACUACAACAACAACACAAUAGCUAUGGAAAUAGACAGCAAUGAGGAACUUGCAAUUAGUGAAAAUGAGGCAAGAAUAAGUUUAACCGUAAAAAAGAAAAAAUGUUGUGAAGGCUGUUUUGUCUAGAUAUGAACCGUUGCAGAUAUACUUUGGACUUGCGUCAAACGUUGAUAAUUUAUCGAACGCAUCGAAAAUUCAUAAAACGCUCGCUGAUACCGUUACCGAAAUCUACCUGUUAUUUUUAGAUUUCAUUUUGCCGUUCGUUGAUAAUAUGAACAAACUUUGCAAUCGGAAAAACCGGAAAUCAUUUCACUCCAUGCAACUUUAUCAAGAAAACUUAGACAGUUACUUAGCUACUUCAUAAAAGAUGAUGUCACGCGAUCUACAAACUUGACUGAUAUUAAAUUUCACCCCCAUGAUUUCAAGCCGGUUCAUGAUGUGUACCUAGGAGUAAAGGUAGCUACCCAACUAGAUGCCAGUAAAAUUGAAAAAACACAAUUGUUUGCUAUACAAAAUACGUGCACUGCGUUUUACCUAGAGUUAGCCUUGCAAAUGUUUAAACGGUUCCAAUUAGAGAAUGAAAUCUAUAAAAGUAUUCAAAUGUUGGAACCCAUCAACAUUGUUGAGGGGAGAAGUUUGAGCGUUGGCCCCGUUUUACCACAUUUCCCAACUGUAAUACCAGGUAGCAUGUGGCAGGAUGUUGAUAACGAAUUUAAUGAAAUUAGGCACUUGAAUUUCAAAUGCUUAGGACUAACGCAAUUAAAUAACGCGGAGGAUUUUUGGAUUAAAAUAACGAAUUUCCGCGAUAGAAAUGAUGCACUGAAGUAUCCGUAAUUGGCACGACUUAUGAGAGCAAUACUAUCUUUACCACAUUCAUCGGCGGCAGCUGAAAGGAUAUUCUCCGCCCAAAAUUUGAACAAAACCAAAACCAAAAACCGUUUGAAAAAUGCUUCCCUAGUGGGAAUUCUCCGAACAAAAGAUUGGAUAAAAACAUUCGGAAAUCCGAAUACAGCGCAAAUUCCGACGGAAAUGCGAUUUAAAUUUAAUAGUCAAAUGUAUUCUAUCGCUGUUGAAGACAACGAAUGUGAAACUGAAGAUUACCAUGAUGUCCUAGAACUUCUCUAAUAAAUAGAUUCAGUAUCAUCUGUUUAUGUUUCCUAGCUGGUUCUCUAAGAGGAGAAUAGUGUUGUAACUUGCUACAAUCUGAUCAAUCUGAUUGAAAAAAAAAGAUCAACAUCACAGAUGAGAAAACCAUCCUUGAAUUGAACUUUUUAUUUUGGAAUUGGGAAACAGACCCCCGCGAUUUAUUAGAAAUCGUACGCAUUGUAUUUCAAAAAAAAAAGAUGGAAAAUAUUCAUAACAUUUAUCGUGAGCAUAUUGAUUCUAUCGAGAAUCACAAAAAGUUCCCAGAUUUAGUGAAGAAAAGAUUAUUGGUUCAAAAAUAACGUCAGUUGAGAAACAGGACCGAACUAAUUAAAAACUGCUUACAAUUUUGCGCGAUGGAUCGAUGGACUUUGUCUAUUGCUAGUCCCAUCGAUAUACAAGAGCGUCGACAUCAUUGCACAUCGGAUUCUUCAGCUACAAAUGUAAAAUAUUCAAAAAGGUUGGAGGAAGGUUGCUAAAUUUUGGUAACAGUGCAAGUCGAAUGGAAAUGUUGGAAAAAACAAGGGGUUCAUUCAGCGCCAUCAGGCACUCCUACAUACACGGCUCUUUGUGUCAGUAGUGAUUUGAAGGUAAUUGAAUUUUCAUGUGCCACAGUAAUCUGUUUGUAAGCGAUGAAUUUUAUAAGCUACAACAGCAACGAAAAGCAAAACAAUGACAAAGCAUUAAAAUUUAUAAAGUGAAACAUUAAACAAGUAUGCAAAUCGGAUUCUUCAGCUACAAAUGGCAAAAAAGUGAUAGCAGGCGGGAAAGUGACAUUACCAUAUAUCUCCAGAAAUACGAUUUAUCAGUAACGGACUCGGAAAAUCAAUCUUGCUGGAGCAAGAAACUCGUUUUCGAAUGCUUUUUUGAACCAAUCAUUAUCUUCACACACCAGCUUAAGAGGUUGAGGCCCAAUGAAAAAUUUCUAUCGUUGAUUUUCAGAUUUCGAGCACGUUCAAGAAUCAUCUGUACUCGACUAUACGUGCGGAACAGGAUCCAACUGGUCGAAUACUGCUUACAACUUUGUGCGACAAAUCGAAUCCGUUGAAUGUGCCUAUUGCUAGUCUCAUUGAUUUAACAAUAGCGUUAACGUAAUCUGGUAAUAAUUAUGAAAAUGAAACUUCGAAUAAAUUGUUAUUCAAAACCCACAACAUGCCAAAAUAAAAAAAAUCA